GGAAUUUUGGACAAUGGGCGAAAGCCUGAUCCAGCAAUGCCGCGUGCAGGAUGAAGGCCUUCGGGUUGUAAACUGCUUUUGUACGGAACGAAAAGGUUCUUUCUAAUAAAGAGAGCCCAUGACGGUACCGUAAGAAUAAGCACCGGCUAACUACGUGCCAGCAGCCGCGGUAAUACGUAGGGUGCGAGCGUUAAUCGGAAUUACUGGGCGUAAAGCGUGCGCAGGCGGUUAUAUAAGACAGUUGUGAAAUCCCCGGGCUCAACCUGGGAACUGCAUCUGUGACUGUAUAGCUAGAGUACGGUAGAGGGGGAUGGAAUUCCGCGUGUAGCAGUGAAAUGCGUAGAUAUGCGGAGGAACACCGAUGGCGAAGGCAAUCCCCUGGACCUGUACUGACGCUCAUGCACGAAAGCGUGGGGAGCAAACAGGAUUAGAUACCCUAG
rnacentral:rRNA from 1 species